rnacentral:rRNA from 1 species
GAGUUUGAUCGUGGCUCAGGGUGAACGCUGGCGGCGUGCCUUAGGCAUGCAAGUAGAACGAGUUUUGGCUUGCCAAAACUAGUUGCGAACGGCUGAGUACAAGAUAAGAAUCUACCUCUUAGUGGGGAAUACCUCAUCGAAAGAUGGGCUAAUACCGCAUAAGAUCUCCGGAUGAAAGGGCGUAACUGCUCGCUGAGAGAGGAGCUUAUCCUCCAUCAGGUAGUUGGUAGGGUAAUGGCCUACCAAGCCGACGACGGAUAGGGGGUGUGAGAGCAUGACCCCCAGAAUGGGACUGAGAUACGGCCCAUACACCUGCGGGUGGCAGCAACCGGGAAUCGUACGCAAUGGACGAAAGUCUGACGUCGCGACGCCGCGUGAGGGAUGAAGGCCUUAGGGUCGUAAACCUCUUUUGCCAUAUUGGAGACAAUAUGGAGAAUAAGUACCCGCUAAUCUCGUGCCAGCAGCCGCGGUAAAU